GACGAACGCUGGCGGUGUGCUUAACACAUGCAAGUCGAACGGUAAGGCCCUUUCGGGGGUACACGAGUGGCGAACGGGUGAGUAACACGUGAGUAACCUGCCCUCAUCUCUGGGAUAACAGUCGGAAACGGUUGCUAAUACUGGAUAUGAGCUUGCAAGGCAUCUUGUGGGUUGGAAAGAUUUUUUUUGGUUGGGGAUGGACUCGCGGCCUAUCAGCUUGUUGGUGAGGUAGUGGCUCACCAAGGCUUCGACGGGUAGCCGGCCUGAGAGGGCGACCGGCCACAUUGGGACUGAGAUACGGCCCAAACUCCGACGGGAGGCAGCAGUGGGGAAUAUUGCACAAUGGACGGAAGUCUGAUGCAGCAACGCCGCGUGCGGGAUGACGGCCUUCGGGUUGUAAACCGCUUUCAAUUGUGACGAAGCGUUUUUGUGACGGUAGCAGGAGAAGAAGCACCGGCUAACUACGUG
rnacentral:rRNA from 1 species